rnacentral:tRNA from 3 species
GGGGGCGUAGUAUAACCUGGUUAGAACAGGUGGCUCCAGACCACCUAAUCUGCGUUCGAAUCGCAGCGCCCCCA